UGCCCCGUAGCUCAGUGGCAGUAGCGGUCGCCUGUUAAGCGAACGGUCGCAGGUUCAAUCCAUGCCGGGGCAGCCA
rnacentral:tRNA from 1 species